rnacentral:sRNA from 1 species
UGCACAGGGUAACAUCGGAAGGGAUUUUAUUCUUAAUAAAUGGUAUGCUCUGCUGAGGAAUGACAUCAUCUAUGGGUAUAUUUCCUUAUAAACUCUCUAAAACCUUCUAUGUUUUCUCCUCAACUGGAAUCACCCUGUAUUACAGGCUACCCUGUAUUUCAUAAAUAUGGCAACGAGUGAUUCUCGUUCCAUUUCGAACCCGUUUUCGCAGAAAACACCCUGUACUGCACAUGAGAGUCCCCCCGUCAGAGCUCAAGCCCGAUUUAUUGAGUAAUUUUUGUCACACUGUCAUAAAUAUAAAUCCCAGUGACAGGCACAUAGGAUACGUGACAUACUCGCCUAUGCUCGAGUUUCUGCUCCAAUUCCUGCUUGAGAUCUUUCGAAUAUAUUACGAGCAAAUAUACUUGAAAGUAUACUUACGUCGAACACUUCAUUCACAAGUCUUGCAUCGUUGGGGAACACAAAAGGAGGACCCGUGCAGGAUGAGCUACCAGGUGCAGAUUCCAUGUAGGCAUUCCUUCUGCCCCCCCUGUGCCGUACUCCCUUUGAAUAUUGUUUUCGUAAGCACCGCAAAUGCAUAAAAGUUGUCUUCCUAGAGGAAAAA